rnacentral:rRNA from 1 species
GUGCCAGCAGCCGCGGUAAAACCAGCACCUCGAGUGGUCAGGAGGUUUAUUGGGCCUAAAGCAUCCGUAGCCGGUUGCACAAGUUUCCGGUUAAAUCCACAUGCUUAACAUUUGGGCUGCCGGAAAUACUGUGCAACUAGGGAGUGGGAGAGGUAGGCGGUACUCGGUAGGAAGGGGUAAAAUCCUUUGAUCUAUUGAUGACCACCUGUGGCGAAGGCGGUCUACCAGAACACGUUCGACGGUGAGGGAUGAAAGCUGGGGGAGCAAACCGGAUUAGAUACCCGGGUAGUCCCAGCUGUAAACGAUGCAGACUCGGUGAUGCAUUGGCUUAUGGCCAGUGCAGUGCCGCAGAGAAGUCGUUAAGUCUGCCGCCUGGGAAGUACGUACGCAAGUAUGAAACUUAAAGGAAUUGGCGGGGGAGCACCACAAGGGGUGAAGCCUGCGGUUCAAUUGGAGUCAACGCCAGAAAUCUUACCCGGGGCGACAGCAGAAUGAAGGUCAAGCUGAAGACUUUACCAGACAAGCUGAGAGGUGGUGCAUGGCCGUCGCCAGCU